rnacentral:rRNA from 1 species
UAACUAGGAUUCCCUUAGUAACGGCGAGUGAACCGGGAAAAGCUCAAAUUUGUAAUCUGGCUGUCUUCGAUAGUCCGAGUUGUAAUCUAUAGACGUGUUUUCCGUGCUGGACCGUAUCUAAGUCCCUUGGAACAGGGUAUCAAAGAGGGUGACAAUCCCGUGCUUGAUACGACCACCAGUGCUCUGUGAUACACGCUCUACGAGUCGAGUUGUUUGGGAAUGCAGCUCAAAAUGGGUGGUAAAUUCCAUCUAAAGCUAAAUAUUGGCGAGAGACCGAUAGCGAACAAGUACCGUGAGGGAAAGAUGAAAAGCACUUUGGAAAGAGAGUUAAACAGUACGUGAAAUUGUUGAAAGGGAAACGAUUGAAGUCAGUCGUGUUCUUUGGAUUCAGCUAGUUCUUCUAGUCUACUUCCAUUGAACGGGUCAACAUCAGUUUUGUCCGGUGGAUAAAGAUAGUAGGAAUGUAGCUCCCCCGGGAGUGUUAUAGACUAUUAUUGCAUACACUGGGUGAGACUGAGGACUGCAGCUCGCCUUUUGGCCGGUCUUCGGACACGUUCGAGCUUAGGAUGUUGACAUAAUGGCUUUAAC